UACGUAGGCAGCAAGCGUUGUUCGGAGUUACUGGGCGUAAAGGGUGUGUAGGCGGUUGUUUAAGUUUGGUGUGAAAUCUCCCGGCUCAACUGGGAGGGUGCGCCGAAUACUGAAUGACUCGAGUGCGGGAGAGGUGAGUGGAAUUCCUGGUGUAGCGGUGAAAUGCGCAGAUAUCGGGAAGAACACCCGUGGCGAAGGCGGCACUCUGGGACGGUACUGACGCUGAGACGCGAAAGCGUGGGGAGCGAACAGG
rnacentral:rRNA from 1 species